UAAGGAAUAUUGGUCAAUGGACGCAAGUCUGAACCAGCCAUGCCGCGUGAAGGAUGAAGGUCCUCUGGAUUGUAAACUUCUUUUAUCUGGGACGAAAACGGGAUUUUUAUCUCAAUUGACGGUACCAGAGGAAUAAGCUCCGGCUAACUCCGUGCCAGCAGCCGCGGUAAUACGGAGGGUGCGAGCGUUAUCCGGAUUUACUGGGUUUAAAGGGUGCGUAGGUGGGCUUAUAAGUCAGUGGUGAAAUCUCCGAGCUUAACUUGGAAACUGCCGUUGAUACUAUAGGUCUUGAAUUAUCUGGAGGUAAGCGGAAUAUGUCAUGUAGCGGUGAAAUGCUUAGAUAUGACAUAGAACACCAAUUGCGAAGGCAGCUUACUACAUAUAAAUUGACGCUGAGGCACGAAAGCGUGGGGAUCAAACA
rnacentral:rRNA from 1 species